ensembl:lncRNA
AAAUUUAAUAUUUAAUGUGAAGUUACUUUAAAAUCUUGCAUCUUAAUAUACAUUUUUAAUAAACAGUUCCAACAAGACAAGAACAUCUUCAGGUUCACAAUGUUACUAAAGAAAAACCUGGAAAAAUACCAAAAGACUCCAAAGAUGUACCAGCCUCAAAGAAAGAUAAAGAAGAAUCCAAAGACGUACCAGCUUCAAAGAAAGAUAAAGAAGUAACUGAUGAUGUAUCUUCACCAAAGAAGCAAAAGA